AGUCGUGGGGCAGCGCGGGUAGCAAUACCUGGCGGCGACCGGCAAACGGGUGCGGAACACGUACGCAACCUUCCUUUAAGCGGGGAAUAGCCCAGGGAAACUUGGAUUAAUACCCCAUAAGACAGUGGAGUGGCAUCACUCAGCUGUUAAAGCUCCGGCACUUAAAGAUGGGCGUGCGGCUGAUUAGGUAGUUGGCGGGGUAACGGCCCACCAAGCCGACGAUCAGUAACUGGUGUGAGAGCACGACCAGUCACACGGGCACUGAGACACGGGCCCGACUCCUACGGGAGGCAGCAGUAAGGAAUAUUGGUCAAUGGACGCAAGUCUGAACCAGCCAUGCCGCGUGGAGGAUGAAGGCCCUCUGGGUUGUAAACUUCUUUUAUUGGGGAAGAAACCGGACUUUUCUAAGACCGUUGACGGUACCCGAUGAAUAAGCACCGGCUAACUCCGUGCCAGCAGCCGCGGUAAUACGGAGGGUGCAAGCGUUAUCCGGAUUCACUGGGUUUAAAGGGUGCGUAGGUGGGCAGGUAAGUCAGUGGUGAAAUCUCUGGGCUUAACCCAGAAACUGCCGUUGAUACUAUCUGUCUUGAAUAUAGCGGAGGUGAGUGGAAUAUGUCAUGUAGCGGUGAAAUGCUUAGAUAUGACAUAGAACAUCGAUUGCGAAGGCAGCUCGCUACACUAUUAUUGACACUGAGGCACGAAAGCGUGGGGAUCAAACAGGAUUAGAUACCCUG
rnacentral:rRNA from 1 species